CCUACGGGAGGCAGCAGUGAGGAAUAUUGGUCAAUGGACGAGAGUCUGAACCAGCCAAGUAGCGUGAAGGAUGACUGCCCUAUGGGUUGUAAACUUCUUUUAUAUGGGAAUAAAAUGUUCCACGUGUGGGAUUUUGUAUGUACCAUAUGAAUAGGGAUCGGCUAACUCCGUGCCAGCAGCCGCGGUAAUACGGAGGAUCCGAGCGUUAUCCGGAUUUAUUGGGUUUAAAGGGAGCGUAGGUGGAUUGUUAAGUCAGUUGUGAAAGUUUGCGGCUCAACCGGAAAAUUGCAGUUGAAACUGGCAGUCUUGAGUACAGUAGAGGUGGGCGGAAUUCGUGGUGUAGCGGUGAAAUGCUUAGAUAUCACGAAGAACUCCGAUUGCGAAGGCAGUUCACUGGACUGCAACUGACACUGAGGCUCGAAAGUGUGGGUAUCAAACAGGAUUAGAUACCCCAGUAGUC
rnacentral:rRNA from 1 species